CAGGUAUCCCGGAGAGGAUCCGCUACUGAUGAUACUCAGGACAGUUCCAGGUUGGACGGGACUGGCAAUGGUGUGCCUUCUGGUAUUUCUCUCCGUGGCGUCGCUCAAGUGUGUCAGGAGAUCGUGCUACGAUCUGUUCUGGUACUCGCAUCAUCUUUUAUUACUGUUCCUGGUCUUAGCAAUUUUUCAUCCUCUCAGCGGAGUGCUUAAAGAACAAGUGAACAUUGAAGAGCAC
rnacentral:lncRNA from 1 species